AUUGAACGCUGGCGGCAGGCCUAACACAUGCAAGUCGAACGGUAACAGGUUAAACUUUGCUUUUUUGCUGACGAGUGGCGGAUGGGUGAGCAAUGUCUGGGAAACGGCCUGACGGAGGGGGAUAACUACUAGAAACGGAUGCUAACACCGCAUAACGUCGCAAGAUCAAAGAAGGGGACCUUCGGGCCUCUUGCCAUCGGAUGUGCCCAGAUGGGAUUAGCUAGUUGGUGGGGUAACGGCUCACCUAGGCGACGAUCCCUAGCUGGUCUGAGAGGAUGACCAGCCACACUGGAACUGAGACACGGUCCAGACUCCUACGGGAGGCAGCAGUGGGGAAUAUUGGACAAUGGGCGCAAGCCUGAUGCAGCCAUGCCGCGUGUGUGAAGAAGGCCUUCGGGUUGUAAAGUGCUUUUGGCAGGGAAGAAAAGGGUAUGGUUAAUACCUGUGCUCAUUGACGUUACCCGAAGAAGAAGCACCGGCUAACUACGUG
rnacentral:rRNA from 1 species